rnacentral:rRNA from 1 species
AAAUUGAAGAGUUUGAUCAUGGCUCAGAUUGAACGCUGGCGGCAGGCCUAACACAUGCAAGUCGAACGGUAACAGGAAGCAGCUUGCUGCUUUGCUGACGAGUGGCGGACGGGUGAGUAAUGUCUGGGAAACUGCCUGAUGGAGGGGGAUAACUACUGGAAACGGUGGCUAAUACCGCAUAACGUCGCAAGACCAAAGAGGGGGACCUUCGGGCCUCUUGCCAUCAGAUGUGCCCAGAUGGGAUUAGCUUGUUGGUGAGGUAACGGCUCACCAAGGCGACGAUCCCUAGCUGGUCUGAGAGGAUGACCAGCCACACUGGAACUGAGACACGGUCCAGACUCCUACGGGAGGCAGCAGUGGGGAAUAUUGCACAAUGGGCGCAAGCCUGAUGCAGCCAUGCCGCGUGUAUGAAGAAGGCCUUCGGGUUGUAAAGUACUUUCAGCGGGGAGGAAGGUGUUGUGGUUAAUAACCGCAGCAAUUGACGUUACCCGCAGAAGAAGCACCGGCUAACUCCGUGCCAGCAGCCGCGGUAAUACGGAGGGUGCAAGCGUUAAUCGGAAUUACUGGGCGUAAAGCGCACGCAGGCGGUCUGUCAAGUCGGAUGUGAAAUCCCCGGGCUCAACCUGGGAACUGCAUUCGAAACUGGCAGGCUUGAGUCUUGUAGAGGGGGGUAGAAUUCCAGGUGUAGCGGUGAAAUGCGUAGAGAUCUGGAGGAAUACCGGUGGCGAAGGCGGCCCCCUGGACAAAGACUGACGCUCAGGUGCGAAAGCGUGGGGAGCAAACAGGAUUAGAUACCCUGGUAGUCCACGCCGUAAACGAUGUCUACUUGGAGGUUGUGCCCUUGAGGCGUGGCUUCCGGAGCUAACGCGUUAAGUAGACCGCCUGGGGAGUACGGCCGCAAGGUUAAAACUCAAAUGAAUUGACGGGGGCCCGCACAAGCGGUGGAGCAUGUGGUUUAAUUCGAUGCAACGCGAAGAACCUUACCUGGUCUUGACAUCCACAGAAGAAUCCAGAGAUGGAUUUGUGCCUUCGGGAACUGUGAGACAGGUGCUGCAUGGCUGUCGUCAGCUCGUGUUGUGAAAUGUUGGGUUAAGUCCCGCAACGAGCGCAACCCUUAUCCUUUGUUGCCAGCGGUCCGGCCGGGAACUCAAAGGAGACUGCCAGUGAUAAACUGGAGGAAGGUGGGGAUGACGUCAAGUCAUCAUGGCCCUUACGACCAGGGCUACACACGUGCUACAAUGGCGCAUACAAAGAGAAGCGACCUCGCGAGAGCAAGCGGACCUCAUAAAGUGCGUCGUAGUCCGGAUUGGAGUCUGCAACUCGACUCCAUGAAGUCGGAAUCGCUAGUAAUCGUGGAUCAGAAUGCCACGGUGAAUACGUUCCCGGGCCUUGUACACACCGCCCGUCACACCAUGGGAGUGGGUUGCAAAAGAAGUAGGUAGCUUAACCUUCGGGAGGGCGCUUACCACUUUGUGAUUCAUGACUGGGGUGAAGUCGUAACAAGGUAACCGUAGGGGAACCUGCGGUUGGAUCACCUCCUUACCUU